CAUGGCGGUACCUAAAAGCAAAUGGCAUCAUCUUCAUCAACUUCAUGGCAUCUGAUGAAAUUAUUGCCACAUCCCUCUAUACAAAACUGGCUGCAACACCCUCACAGAGAGCUGGAUCUCCCCAGUGAUCUAAUGCUGUCAAGCAAUUCGAAGGAAUCACUUGCAAUUCCCAACACAGCCUUGGCCACGAGCGCUCCUUAAAGAAAUGGACACAGAAUUCCUCCCAGAGGCUGAGUUUCACAUAUUGCUCGAGCCAAAGAGAAGCUCCAGCCUCCUUGGAAAGGGCCUUUUGGAACCAUCAUUUCUGCUGGAGAGCACUUAAAUCCAGGGAGCAGAGGACUGUGCUAGCAAAGCAGGAAUCGAUGCCACGUGCCAUGAAAUACACUGAAAUUCCAGCGCGCAUCCCAUGCUCCCGCAAAGCCCACUCCAAACUAUGCCACAGGAGCCACGCUGGACAUCAGGGAGAAUUCCUUCCCCAAAAGGGCUGCCCAGGCCUGGCACAGAAGCCCCGAGCCCCUCCGGACGAGGCCAUUCCAUGCUGGAUGUGCAGCGCCUCCCACAACAGGAACAUCACCUGUGAAGGGAUUUACUGGGUGGCAAAUCAAACCACAACAUGAUUAUCAACUACUCCCCACUGCUUCCAAGGGAAGAUUCCAGGGGAAUUCUUGAUCCUUAACCGCAGCACUGGAUUUUGUUUCAUUCAUAAUAAUUUCCCUGACAGUGUUUAAAACCCCUCCAGUGCAUGGGAAGAGAGGAAGAAUUAUAUAAAUUAAUACAUGUUACACCCUUAGACGCAGAUCAAACUUCUCCCACAGCUCCCAAAAUGUGCUCUCAACCCCUGCUUAAGAGAUUAAAGUAUCCCAGACUUUUCCAUCAUCUCGAAAUGCAGAUUUAAGCAGGGAUUAAAGUCACUUGGUGGAGCACACCUCCUUCACAUGGGUGCCUGCGGCUGAGAAAUCCCAUUUCACAGAAUCAUGGAAUAUUCUGACAUGGAAAGGGACCCUCAACAAGGAUUAUCAAAGUCCAACUCCAGCUUAGGAAUUCAACUCCUGAGAAUUUCCACACACCUCUCCCCCCAGCCACACUCUGAGGUACUGCCCAGACACGGUGCUGGACCCUUCCUCCAAACAGUGAUGGCAAAGGACUGGGAGAAAAGGGCUGGAGAGCUGAUCCCAGCACCCGCCACCUUCCCCCAGCCUGAGGAUACGCCGGGCACUGAUUCCUCUGC